rnacentral:rRNA from 1 species
GACGAACGCUGGCGGCGUGCCUAAUACAUGCAAGUAGAACGCUGAAGAGAGGAGCUUGCUCUUCUUGGAUGAGGUGCGAACGGGUGAGUAACGCGUAUGUAACCUGCCUGGUAGCGGGGGAUAACUAUUGGAAACGAUAGCUAAUACCGCAUAAAAUGGAUUAUCGCAUGAUAAUCCAUUGAAAGGUGCAAAUGCAUCACUACCAGAUGGACCUGCGGUGUAUUAGCUAGUUGGUGGGGUAACGGCUCACGAAGGCGGGGAUACAGAGCAGACCUGAGAGGGUGAGCAGCCGCACUGAGAGUGAGACACGGCACAGAGGCCUACGGGAGGCAGCAGUAGGGAAUCUUCGGGAAUGGGCGGAAGUCUGAGCGAGCAACGCGGCGUGAGGGAAGAAGGUUGUCGGAUCGGAAAGCUCUGUUGUAAGAGAAGAACGAGUGUGAGAGUGGAAAGUUCACACUGUGACGGUAACUUAUAAGAAAGGGACGGCUAACUACGUG